CCAAAGUGUCUCAACUUUGAGUUUUUAUUUCUUGUUGCUUUUUAUGCGCAGUUUUUUGGGACAAAAAAAUUUUUUAAAUAGAGUUUGUGCCUGAUUUGCAGUGAGUACGAUUUUUUAACUUUUAGGGAUCUGAGAAAAAGCAAAUUUUAAGAGCAUGGACCAAACUUGUGCCAGCAGUCGCGGUUACACAAGUCAUGCAAUAAAAAUUUUAUUUUGGAUGUGGUUAAUUUUUUAAUUUUUAUUAAAAAUAAGAUUUAUUAAGUGAAAUUUUAAAUUUUAAAUGGAUUUUAAGUUUUUAUAUGAGGCCAAAAAAUUUUGUUUUAAGACUAGGAUUAGAUACCCUAUUAUAAAAAUGUAAUUUUGAACUCCUUAUUAGUAUUAGUUAAGUUCUUGAAAAUAAAAAGAGUUGGCGGUAUUUUAGUCCAUUCAGAGGAACCUGUCCUGUAAAUGAUGAUCCACGAUUAGUUGUACUUUUGUUUUAAGUUUAUAUAUCGCCGUGGAAGAAUAUUUUCUGAGAAUUUAAUGUUCGUGAUUUAAAUAUAAAAGAUAGCAGGUCAAGAUGUAGCUUAUGUGAAAGUAGAGAUGGGUUACAGUUAAUAAAUUUUAUGGAUUCUAAUAUUAAUUUUUAGAUGAAAAUGGAUUUGAUAGUAAUUUUUUUUAUAUUUUAAGUUUGAUUAAGGCUCUAAGAUAUGUACAUAUCGCCCGUCGCUUUCACUAUAAAGUGGAAUAAGUCGUAACAAAGUAGAUGUACUGGAAAGUGUAUCUAGAACUCA
rnacentral:ncRNA from 1 species